UACGUAGGGGGCGAGCGUUGUCCGGAUUUACUGGGCGUAAAGGGCGCGUAGGCGGUCAGCACAAGUCAGUUGUGAAAUCUCCGAGCUUAACUCGGAAAGGUCAACUGAUACUGUGCGACUAGAGUGCGGAAGGGGCAACUGGAAUUCUUGGUGUAGCGGUGAAAUGCGUAGAUAUCAAGAGGAACACCUGCGGCGAAGGCGGGUUGCUGGGCCGACACGUGACGCUGAGGCGCGAAAGCUAGGGGAGCGAACGGG
rnacentral:rRNA from 1 species